rnacentral:antisense_RNA from 1 species
UGUGGGAGCUGGCUUGCCUGCGAUGACGCCGGUACAUUCAACAUCGUCGUUGAAUGAACUACCGCUAUCGCAGGCAAGCCAGCUCCCACA